rnacentral:rRNA from 1 species
UCUGAACCCUUCGGGGGGACGACGGUGGAAUGAGCGGCGGACGGGUGAGUAACACGUAAAGAACCUGCCCAUAGGUCUGGGAUAACCACGAGAAAUCGGGGCUAAUACCGGAUGUGUCAUCGGACCGCAUGGUCCGCUGAUGAAAGGCGCUUCGGCGUCGCCCAUGGAUGGCUUUGCGGUGCAUUAGCUAGUUGGUGGGGUAACGGCCCACCAAGGCGACGAUGCAUAGCCGACCUGAGAGGGUGAUCGGCCACACUGGGACUGAGACACGGCCCAGACUCCUACGGGAGGCAGCAGUAGGGAAUCUUCCACAAUGGACGAAAGUCUGAUGGAGCAACGCCGCGUGAACGAUGAAGGCUUUCGGGUCGUAAAGUUCUGUUGUAAGGGAAGAACAAGUGCCGCAGGCAAUGGCGGCACCUUGACGGUACCUUGCGAGAAAGCCACGGCUAACUACGUGCCAGCAGCCGCGGUAAUACGUAGGUGGCAAGCGUUGUCCGGAAUUAUUGGGCGUAAAGCGCGCGCAGGCGGCCUCUUAAGUCUGAUGUGAAAGCCCCCGGCUCAACCGGGGAGGGCCAUUGGAAACUGGGAGGCUUGAGUAUAGGAGAGAAGAGUGGAAUUCCACGUGUAGCGGUGAAAUGCGUAGAGAUGUGGAGGAACACCAGUGGCGAAGGCGACUCUUUGGCCUAUAACUGACGCUGAGGCGCGAAAGCGUGGGGAGCAAACAGGAUU